GCUCAUCUUUCCAGGGAAAAUUGCUGAAAUUUUGGAGGAGUGAAAGGAUGAGGAAAUCCUUUAACUUAAGAUGCAGUUUAAGAUGGAAAAUAUUAUGGUCUUUCCUUCCAUGAAUUCUUUGGCAAGGGAAGAUCAAGUAAAAUAAUCUAUGAUUACAUACCUAGUUGACUUUGCAUAUAAAGAUUCAGGGCGGAGACCAUGGACUACAACGUUGGGAAAAAAUCGCAUUCACUUAUUUUUUAAAGGCCUUCUCACCCUAAAGAGACGAAUUCCAUAUUUCUUUCUGGUCUGGAGGGAUUCAGAGAGAAAAGAUGAGAAGACAACAAGUGAAAAUCAGUGGGGUUUGGGGUGCGGUGCAGUGGAAGAGGGAAGUGGCUCUGCCUGGACCAUUUUGUUUUAUGUUAAACCUUAAUGUUAAUAAAUGCCAACACAUCUGUUUGCUGCUGUGAGAAUGACACCGACAUGGGAAGGAAAGCCAGAUGUGAUUCCGCUGUCCAGGAAGGCCUCGCGUAGAGCCUCAUUGUACUUUACUGGCAGAUACUGCAUUUUCACAACAUCGAGGCGAGACCCUCCACCAGCAAAAGGAUUACAACUCACUGAAGGCUCAGAGUUUAUUUCUUAGCAAUAAAGUAUUUUUUAAUUAA